GCGGAUAUAGAUUAAUGGUAAAUUCUCUGUCUUCCACACAGAUGAUAUGGGUUCGAUUCCCGUUAUCCGCA
rfam:Micromonas sp. RCC299 mitochondrion, complete genome.